rnacentral:rRNA from 1 species
GUCCACGCCGUAAACGAUGAGAACUAGCCGUUGGACCCCUUGAGGGUUUAGUGGCGAAGCUAACGCGAUAAGUUCUCCGCCUGGGGAGUACGGCCGCAAGGCUAAAACUCAAAUGAAUUGACGGGGCCCGCACAAGCGGUGGAGCAUGUUGUUUAAUUCGAUGCAACGCGAAGAACCUUACCACCCCUUGACAUCCUCGGAACUUGUCAGAGAUGACUUGGUGCCUUCGGGAGCCGAGUGACAGGUGCUGCAUGGCUGUCGU